UGGUUAAUGAAUGUGCUUUGAGA
rnacentral:piRNA from 1 species